rnacentral:rRNA from 1 species
CCUACGGGGGGCUGCAGUGGGGAAUCUUGCACAAUGGAGGAAACUCUGAUGCAGCGACGCCGCGUGAGCGAAGAAGCCUUUCGGGGUGUAAAGCUCUUACGCCAGGGACGAUAAUGACGGUACCUGGAGAAGCAGCUGCGGCUAACUACGUGCCAGCAGCCGCGGUAAUACGUAGGCAGCAAGCGUUGUUCGGAAUUACUGGGCGUAAAGGGUGCGUAGGCGGUUGCCUAAGUUUGGUGUGAAAUCUCCCGGCUUAACUGGGAGGGUGCGCUGAA